UACGAAGGGGGCUAGCGUUGUUCGGAAUUACUGGGCGUAAAGCGCGCGCAGGCGGUUCUUCAAGUCAGAGGUGAAAGCCCAGAGCUCAACUCUGGAAUGGCCUUUGAGACUAGAGAACUAGGGUACGGGAGAGGUGAGUGGAAUUCCGAGUGUAGAGGUGAAAUUCGUAGAUAUUCGGAAGAACACCAGUGGCGAAGGCGGCUCACUGGCCCGUUACCGACGCUCAGGCGCGACAGCGUGGGGAGCAAACAAG
rnacentral:rRNA from 1 species